rnacentral:lncRNA from 1 species
UUCCUCCUCUUCCGCUCGCUAGUCUUCGAGAAAGCGCUCCCGGUCCCGCCGCCGAGGGAGGGCGGCGCUACCACGACCGCCGCCGCCGCCGGAGAACAGAGAGAGCCACCGCCGCCGCAGGCGAAGCCCACUCGCAAGGCGCCACCGCCCUUCAAGCGCGACGACCCCACCAAGGCCGGCCGCAAGCGAAUGCCCUCCGACCGUCAGGAGGAGAAGCUCGCGAAGAGGACAAAGAAGCUGGACUCCGUGAAGAAGGCCCUCACCUCCUCGGAGAAAAAGCAGCAGGAGGCGGCGCCGGCGCCGGCGAAGAAGCAGCAGCAAGAGGCGGCGCCGGGGCCGGCUCCGGCCGCAAAGCCCUCCAAGGCGGAGCAGAAGGCGGCGGUCCCGACCUUCCUGGUGAUGAAGUUCCCGC